rnacentral:rRNA from 1 species
GAUGAACGCUAGCGGCAGGCUUAAUACAUGCAAGUUGAGGGGCAGCAUGAUAUACGCGAGUAUAUUGAUGGCGACCGGCGGACGGGUGAGUAAUAGGUAGGAGACCUACCUCAUACAGGGGGAUAGCAUAGAGAAAUCUGUGGUAAUACCCCAUGAGGUUAUAUGAAUAGAGGCAUAUAAUCAAAGCAUAAGCGAUUAUGCGGUAUGAGAGGGGCCUACUGACCAUUAGCUAGUUGGUGAGGUAAGGGCUCACCAAGGCGAAGAUGGUUAGGGGUUUUGAGAGAGAGAUCCCCCAAUUGGAACUGAGAUACGGUCCAGACUCCUACGGGAGGCAGCAGUAGGGAAUAUUGGGCAAUGGGCGGAAGCCUGACCCAGCCAUGCCGCGUGAAGGAGACGGCCUUAUGGGUUGUAAACUUCUUUACUAUGCGACUAACUAGAUUUACGAGAUAAUUCUAUAGAAUGUAGCAUAGC